UUUUAUGGAGAGUUUGAUCCUGGCUCAGGAUGAACGCUGGCGGCGUGCCUAAUACAUGCAAGUCGAGCGAACAGACGAGGAGCUUGCUCCUCUGACGUUAGCGGCGGACGGGUGAGUAACACGUGGAUAACCUACCUAUAAGACUGGGAUAACUUCGGGAAACCGGAGCUAAUACCGGAUAAUAUAUUGAACCGCAUGGUUCAAUAGUGAAAGACGGUUUUGCUGUCACUUAUAGAUGGAUCCGCGCCGCAUUAGCUAGUUGGUAAGGUAACGGCUUACCAAGGCAACGAUGCGUAGCCGACCUGAGAGGGUGAUCGGCCACACUGGAACUGAGACACGGUCCAGACUCCUACGGGAGGCAGCAGUAGGG
rnacentral:rRNA from 1 species